rnacentral:rRNA from 1 species
CGUAGAGUUUGAUCCUGGCUCAGGACGAACGCUGGCGGCGUGCUUAACACAUGCAAGUCGAACGAUGAACCUGGAGCUUGCUCUAGGGGAUUAGUGGCGAACGGGUGAGUAACACGUGAGUAACCUGCCCUUGACUCUGGGAUAACCUCCGGAAACGGAAGCUAAUACCGGAUAUGACGUACGGAGGCAUCUCCUGUACGUGGAAAGAACUUCGGUCAAGGAUGGACUCGCGGCCUAUCAGGUAGUUGGUGAGGUAACGGCCCACCAAGCCUACGACGGGUAGCCGGCCUGAGAGGGUGACCGGCCACACUGGGACUGAGACACGGCCCAGACUCCUACGGGAGGCAGCAGUGGGGAAUAUUGCACAAUGGGCGCAAGCCUGAUGCAGCAACGCCGCGUGAGGGAUGACGGCCUUCGGGUUGUAAACCUCUUUUAGUAGGGAAGAAGCGAAAGUGACGGUACCUGCAGAAAAAGCACCGGCUAACUACGUGCCAGCAGCCGCGGUAAUACGUAGGGUGCGAGCGUUGUCCGGAAUUAUUGGGCGUAAAGAGCUCGUAGGCGGUCUGUCGCGUCUGCUGUGAAAACCCGAGGCUCAACCUCGGGCCUGCAGUGGGUACGGGCAGACUAGAGUGCGGUAGGGGAGAAUGGAAUUCCUGGUGUAGCGGUGGAAUGCGCAGAUAUCAGGAGGAACACCGAUGGCGAAGGCAGUUUCUGGGCCGUAACGACGCGAGGAGCGAAAGCUGAAGCAACU